GCAUUCGGAAGUAUGAGGUGAAAGAAAAAGGGGGGAAAUACAUCCAGAUACAUCCAUACAUCCCUCUGGGCAUCGGAGAACGGUGCAGCGCUGCGUUCAAUGACCACCAAACACCUGUUGAUACCUCAUUGGAUCGGAUACCUGUCAGCAUCACUGAUUGGUAGAAUGCUGUCCCACGUCGUAGAGCGGUGAUCUCCCGACUUCAUGGCUGUUGGUUCGAUCCUCAGGUUCAGGAUAUUUCAGCCUUCAAUACAUUCUAAAUGAUGACGAUGUAAACAUGAACAACAUGAUGUGUGACCAAUGAGCUCUCCUUUCUUCAAUCUUUCCAACUCAGCUUUCCAAGAUCCACGUCUAAAUAUUGGAAAACUGAAAGGCCGUUGAUGCAAGCUCAUUGCGUAAAUGCAUUUUUCUCUUAUGAGCCUUGACCACAUCUCUCAGUUACACACACAAAUUCUCUUUAAUGGCAUGCAGUGGAAUAUUACAUUCACUUGCUACUGUGCUUCACCGGGGCUUGAGAACGAUACAGCAGGGAUAAAAACAAGGGUGAAGAAACAGUAAGACUGACUUGAGUAAUUAUAUUAUUGGGAGAAAUGGCCAUAACUCACCAAUGACGCAGAAAGGCUUUCUGGCAAAGCGGAGUCGCCCCUGCCAUCCUCUGUAGCGACAGCAACAUCCUGCUGACCAGAUGCGGAUGAUGUACUCCAACCCAAACACCACAAUCAUGACAAACUCCUGCAGGAUGUCGGAUAAAUAAUGUGUAAAUAGUCUGAGGAGAAGACACUAUUUGCAGCGACAGUCAUGAAAUUACACAUGAAGACAAAUACUCUCCAUCAUUAGACGCGCUUUUUCAUCCAAACUUUUUGCCAAUCAAUCACAGGGCACACACAGAUUUACACACAUUCGCACACCGUAUGGAAAAUCCAGCCAAGUUAACUUGCCCUAACAAAGAGACCUUCACACCACAGGCUCCUUUGUGUGGCCUCUAAGUGAACUUUACCUUGUACAUUGGAAUCAUCGUGGACAAUUGUAACUGUUUACUGGGACAAGUACAUAAAAAAAAACUUUAUUAUCUGAAUCAUGUGUGUUGAUGAAGAGAAAUGUGCAUCAAACCCGUUCUUACCAGAAUGAGAAGGCAGUAAGAGGAGAAGUCCUGAUGAGCUGGAAUGGUAGAGAAGACAGAGAGGACCAGGCAGCUGAAGACCAAGAUGAACCUGAAAGAGUGCAUCAAACAUUUCGGCUACAGUUUCAGUAUUUUACUGGAGAUUUACUGAGAAUAUUAAGAAAAAUAUUAAGAUAUUUUUUAAGAAAAAAAAACACCACCCAACCUACUUGACACGGGAGAUAUGGCUGAAGUCAU